rnacentral:tRNA from 1 species
GGCGCGAUGGCUCAGUGGUGGAGCAGUGGCCUCGUAAGCGGUAGAUCCCGGGUUCGAGUCCAAGUCGAAUUA